rnacentral:tRNA from 1 species
GGUCGUGUGGCCCAAUGGAUAAGGCGCCUGACUACGAAUCAGAAGAUUCCAGGUUAGGGUCCUGGCAGGAUCG